UGCGACUGCUGAUCCAGCGUCUUCCGGUCUGGGGGAUCCUGACCCUGGCACGACCUAGGGUAGAGCAGACCUUCCAGGGAGAUGGGUAUAGAGAAUACAGUGGAUGACUCCCAGAUUCCAAGAUGAAUGAAGGUGAUAGAGGUCUCACUAUGUUGUGGAGAACUGGAACUUGUGAUCUUGCUGCCUCAGCUGCCGGUGUCCCUGGGAUUCCCGAUGACUGCAAUGGCUGGGAUUGCAGGAUCCAAUCCAGAACAUCACAUCUCAUUGUCCUCAAGUCUCCUUUUUUUGGCUGUAAAAGGUUUUUUUUUUUGGACUUUUU